rnacentral:rRNA from 1 species
UACAGAGGGCCCAAGCGUUGUUCGGAUUCACUGGGCGUAAAGGGUGCGUAGGCGGCGUGGUAAGUCGGAUGUGAAAUCUCGGAGCUUAACUCCGAAACUGCAUUCGAUACUGCCGUGCUUGAGGACUGGAGAGGAGACUGGAAUUUACGGUGUAGCGGUGAAAUGCGUAGAUAUCGUAAGGAAGACCAGUGGCGAAGGCGGGUCUCUGGACAGUUCCUGACGCUGAGGCACGAAGGCCAGGGGAGCAAACGGG